rnacentral:rRNA from 1 species
AGUGGGGAAUCUUCCGCAAUGGACGAAAGUCUGACGGAGCAACGCCGCGUGAACGAUGAAGGCCUUCGGGUCGUAAAGUUCUGUCCUUUGGGAAGAAUACUUUAGUUACUAAUACUAGCUAGAGUUGACGGUACCUUUGGAGGAAGCUCUGGCUAACUACGUGCCAGCAGCCGCGGUAAUACGUAGAGAGCAAGCGUUGUCCGGAAUCAUUGGGCGUAAAGGGUACGCAGGCGGUCUAUUAAGUCAGAGGUGAAAUCCAACAGCUCAACUGUUGAACUGCCUUUGAUACCGGUAGACUUGAGGAUAAGAGAAGAAAACGGAAUUCCUAGUGUAGCGGUGAAAUGCGUAGAUAUUAGGAAGAAUACCGAUGGUGAAAGCAGUUUUCUAACUUAUUCCUGACGCUCAGGUACGAAAGCUAGGGUAGCAAACGGGAUUAGAUACCCCGGUAGUCCUAGCCGUAAACGAUGGAUACUAGGUGUUGGGGGUUCGACCCCCUCGGUGCUGCAGUUAACGCAUUAAGUAUCCCGCCUGGGGAUUACGACCGCAAGGUUG